CUCGGGGGGAGAGGAGGAGAAAGAACGGGAGAAAGAGGAGGAGAACAGCCUACAGAAGCCACCCCACAGGAGAAUAAAGGAAAGAAGAGGAAACAGGUGUGUUCUCCUCCUCUGGUAUGUAAUAGUUUGUUUUAAACUUCAUUGCGUUUCGUUUGGUGUACAACUGUACUACUACUGUCUCAGUUAUAUUUGUCUACACAGAAAUCCCAGAAGGAGUGUUUUAUGGCUCAGGAGAAGAAAGCGGAUGAGGGCGAAAAAAAGCCCAAGAAACAGAGAAAGAAGAAGAAGACGAUCACAGAUGUCCUGGCCACAUCGAAACCCAAACCGGGCUCUCCAGGCGACCUGCAGAACCUGGUUCUAAAGUAUUUCAAAUACGAGCGCUCUGUCAUCGAAUUGGAAGAGCUCAAACUGCAGGGCGAGUCACCUUUAACCUUUCAACUGUCACACCUGACCUCUGUCUUCUGUUACCAGCAGGUAUAAGGGCUGUCAGCCUUUUUGUCAGUCUCUCUAUAUCUUUCUUUCUCUCUUUCUCUCUCUCUUCUUUCUCUCCCCCUCUCUCUCCCCCUCUCUCUCGUUCUCUCACUCCUACGCACUCACUUUCUCUGAAUUACCUAAUGUGACUUUUUUCACGGAUUCCUGCUUCCUGAUGAUUAAUGACCUCACACACACCUCCUCCUACCUGAAAGAAAGUGAGUACAAACCAAACCGUCACUCCUUACAUACCUACAUGCCUCACCAAUCCAUUACUCAUUUUUAACCUCAAUGUUAAACUAAUAGGACUUCUGUCCCAUUUGUGCUUUAAGUCUUCUGUCAUGUUCCUAGAUGUGUACUUGGGUAUAACUCAAUAGUCUGGUGUUGGCUUCCCCUCCUCAUCUCCUAUUAUUCAUCUGACUGAUCUGUGGAGGAAAUGAGAAGAGGAAGCCACUUUAGACUAUUGACAUCCGUCCCUUGUAUCACAGUAUAUGUUUUUCCUUUUCUCUUUUUGCUCAGUUUGUCCCAAAUGGGCUAAGGUCCAGACGCAACACACAGAGAAGGGUUCUGUAAUUCUGCUCAUUGUCUGUAACUCCGCCCUCAGACUCAUCAAGCUCACACAUUGGGAUGGGAACACCAUGGAGACUGAAAGCCCUUCUAGGGAGAGGUGGGGCCUCAUUUUCUCCCCCUCAGGGAUUUAACCCCAGUUUGGCACUGCCAGCGCAGCGCUUCCUGGUUCUGGACUGGAACUGGUGGGACCAGAAGCUUCGCAUGAUGGUGGAUGUCGCUGAGGUCCAAAUUGACUUGCUGAAGCUGCUGGAUAGGGGCAUCUUGAAAGGCUGUAGAGAAGGAAAAGUAAAAGUGGGACUCUUCUGAUACACAUACACACACACCAACUGCCAUACUUUGCCCUCUGCCAUAGACUGACACACAAACACACACCCAACCAUUUUGAACUGGACCUCUUCUGAUCAUGCUCUCACACAAACACACACACACACACACCAAAGUUAUUGUAGUAAACAAUUUAGUAA